rnacentral:rRNA from 1 species
UACGGAGGGUGCAAGCGCUGUUCGGAAUCACUGGGCGUAAAGGGCGUGUAGGCGGUCCGCUAAGUCUGAUGUGAAAGCCCGGGGCUCACCCCCGGAAGGGCAUUGGAAACUGGCGGACUCGAGUCUCGGAGAGGAAGGUGGAAUUCCUGGUGUAGCGGUGAAAUGCGUAGAUAUCAGGAAGAACACCUAUGGCGAAGGCAGCUCUCUGGGACGGUACUGACGCUGAGACGCGAAAGCGUGGGGAGCGAACAGG